rnacentral:tRNA from 1 species
GCUUCGGUGGUGAAAAGGGAGAUCACACCUGUCUUCUAAACAGGCCGUUCCAGGUUCGACUCCUGGCCGAAGCA